rnacentral:rRNA from 1 species
AGUGAACGCUGGCGGUAGGCCUAACACAUGCAAGUCGAACGGCAGCACAGGAGAGCUUGCUCUCUGGGUGGCGAGUGGCGGACGGGUGAGGAAUACAUCGGAAUCUACCUUUUCGUGGGGGAUAACGUAGGGAAACUUACGCUAAUACCGCAUACGACCUACGGGUGAAAGUGGGGGACCGCAAGGCCUCACGCGAUUGGAUGAGCCGAUGUCCGAUUAGCUAGUUGGCGGGGUAAUGGCCCACCAAGGCGACGAUCGGUAGCUGGUCUGGGAGGAUGAUCAGCCACACUGGAACUGAGACACGGUCCAGGCUCCUACGGGAGGCAGCAGUGGGGAAUAUUGGACAAUGGGCGCAAGCCUGAUCCAGCCAUACCGCGUGGGUGAAGAAGGCCUUCGGGUUGUAAAGCCCUUUUGUUGGGAAAGAAAUCCUGUCGAUCAAUACUCGGUGGGGAUGACGGUACCCAAAGAAUAAGCACCGGCUAACUUCGUGCCAGCAGCCGCGGUAACAC